rfam:Rheinheimera sp. SA_1 Contig_11, whole genome shotgun sequence.
CGUUCUCUGGGUUGUUUGUGAUCAAGCCGAUGUCCCCGAGCCGAUAAUUGUUUAUACAUAGGAAUUCUUUUCCAGCACUAUUGUGCAAGCCCGGCUCGUAUCGGGAAGCCUGCGGUGCUGAUCUGACUUCCGCCUUGAACCUAUGGUUCGAGGCUAACGUUUGACACGGCAACCUCGAGAACAC